rnacentral:rRNA from 1 species
AUUGAACGCUGGCGGAAUGCUUUACACAUGCAAGUCGAGCGGCAGCGCGGUCUUCGGACUGGCGGCGAGCGGCGAACGGGUGAGUAAUACAUCGGAACAUGCCCAGUCGUGGGGGAUAACACUUCGAAAGAAGUGCUAAUACCGCAUACGUCCUGGGGGAGAAAGCGGGGGAUCGCAAGACCUCGCGCGAUUGGAGUGGCCGAUGUCAGAUUAGCUAGUUGGUGGGGUAAAGGCCUACCAAGGCAACGAUCUGUAGCUGGUCUGAGAGGAUGAUCAGCCACACUGGGACUGAGACACGGCCCAGACUCCUACGGGAGGCAGCAGUGGGGAAUUUUGGACAAUGGGGGCAACCCUGAUCCAGCCAUUCCGCGUGAGUGAAGAAGGCCUUCGGGUUGUAAAGCUCCUAAGGCAGGAACGAAACGGUGAGAGAGAACAUAGCUCGCUAAUGACGGUACCUGAAGAAGAAGCACCGGCUAACUACGUGCCAGCCGCCGCGGUAACAC